UUGAGGUUUACAGAAAAGUUGCAAAGCUGCAGACAGUUCCUGCAUACUCAGUUUCCCCAUUAAGAUCCUCCCAUUAUCUUGCACAAGUGCUUUUAAGUCAUCUUUCUCUCACUUCUUUUUCUUUUUUUUUUUUUUUGAGAUGGAGUUUCGCUCUUGUUGCCCAGGCUGAAGUGCAGUGGCGUGAUCUUAGCUCACCGCAAACUCUGCCUCCCGGGUUCAAGCGAUUCUCCUGCCUCAGCUUCCCAAGCAGCUGGGAUUACAGGCACAUGCCACCACACCUGGCUAAUUUUUGUAUUUUUAGUACAGACAGGGUUUCACCAUGUUGGUCAGGCUGGUCUCAAACUCCUGACCUCAGGUGAUCCGCCCACCCUGGCCUCCCAAAGUGCUGGGAAUACAGGCGUGAGCCACCGUGCCUGGCCAUAGCCAUCUCUUUCUUUUUUUUUCCUUUUUUCUUUCUCUCUCUCUCUCUCUUUCUUUCUUUUUCACAAGAACAGUAAGUCUUUUAUUUAUUUAUUUAGGUUACAUGAGUAAAUUCUUUAGUGGCGGUUUCUAAGAUUUUGGUGCACCCAUCACCUGAGCAGUGUACACUGUACCCAGUGUGCAGUUCCCUAUCCUUUACCCGCUUCCACCCUUCCCCAAGACUCCAAAGUUGAUUGCAUCAUUCUUAUGCCUUUGUGUCCUCAUAGCUUAGCUCCCAAAGGUAUCUCUUAGUGUAUUUCCCACCCUAGGCAGCCCCUGGUCUUUCUCUCCUGUGUCUUAUGUCCCUUGGGGUGUAAAAACAGGAACUUUGUUGAACCCAGUCUCAAUCAACUUAAUUCCAAAGAACACCCAACCAAGGUUAAAAUUUUCCACUUUCAGCAUACCUAAUGUUUUGCAUCAUGAUUUCAACCAUGUUAAGUUUAUGAGACCUAUUCUUUUUUUUUUUAAUCACAAUUAUCAAUACUUUCAUUUUUCUUUCUAUUUUUAUAAGACAAUAAGGGACAAAUGCAAUAAAAUGUUUAAAUGCCUACAUUAUUGUACAGAUGAAAAUGAUGCCACUGCCCAAACAUUGCUGUUGGCUAGGCAAGGCCACUUGAAACUGUAGAUCAAAAUGCUCACCUAUUAGUGGGAGUAUGAUCAUCUGAACUUACCAAAAGUAGUUUCAAGUUGUAUACUUUAAGAAAGUGCAAACUAUUUGGAAGUCAGAUACAUGAAAGCCAAAGAUUUCCAAAAGUGGGUUUCCAAAGAUCAGACACUUUGAUACUAAUUUCAUUACUUUUAUUGAGAACCUACUGUGUGAAAAGCACAAAGUUUGGUUCUUGGGAUGGGGUGGACUGUAUGAGGAAAAGGGAAAAUAAGGAUACUUACUUAAAAUCUGGUGGUGGAAAAAGAAGCAUACAAAAUAAUUUUGAAACAAGGAAGACUACAAUAAACCCUUCUCAAAUUCUUCUAAUAAAUUGAAGAAUGGAAUACUUUCUUUUUUAAAUUAUAUAUCAUCCUUUUAAUACAAGCUUUAAAAAAUCUGGAACAAUAGAAACUGUACAGAUUUGAUCAAUCUUUUUGUUUUGUUUUUAAACUAAGAUCUCUAAACACUCCAGUGUCCCAUUCCAAAAUACUGCACAACGUUCUGAAUACAAAACUCUUGCUUGUAUUCCUCCUUCAUGAAAGAAAAAAGUUCAUGACCCUACUGCCCAGGCUCCUCUCCAGGCUUGCCUCAAUGCCCUCUCCCCAUCCCUAGGGAGAAAACUAGAGCAUCUAUAGCUCACUGCACUGAGAAAAAGACAUCCUUCUGGACUAACAGUUUGACGAAUGGAACACUUUCUAACU
ensembl:lncRNA